rnacentral:rRNA from 1 species
AUACGUAGGGUGCAAGCGUUUAUCCGGAAUUAUUGGGCGUAAAGAGCUCGUAGGCGGCUUGUCGCGUCUGGUGUGAAAGUCCAUCGCUUAACGGUGGAUCUGCGCCGGGUACGGGCAGGCUAGAGUGCGGUAGGGGAGACUGGAAUUCCCGGUGUAACGGUGGAAUGUGUAGAUAUCGGGAAGAACACCAAUGGCGAAGGCAGGUCUCUGGGCCGUCACUGACGCUGAGGAGACGAAAGCGUGGGGAGC